rnacentral:rRNA from 1 species
UACGUAGGGGGCAAGCGUUGUCCGGAUUUAUUGGGCGUAAAGCGCUCGCAGGUGGUUCGUCGCGUCGUGCGUGAAAGACCCCGGCUCAACUGGGGAGGGUCGUGCGAUACGGGCGGACUGGAGGCCAGUAGGGGGAUGCGGAAUUCCGGGUGUAGCGGUGAAAUGCGUAGAUAUCUGGAGGAACACCGGUGGCGAAGGCGGCAUUCUGGACCGAUAUUGACGCUGAGGAGCGAAAGCCAGGGGAGCAAACGGG